rnacentral:rRNA from 1 species
GCUCCAAUAGCGUAUAUUAAAGUUGUUGCGGUUAAAAAGCUCGUAGUUGGAUUUCUGUUGAAGACCGGCGGUCCACCUUGGGUGAGUAUCUGCUUGGGCUUCGGCAUCUUCUCGAAAAACGUUGCGGCGCUUGAUUGCGUGGUGCGGAGUUCGGGACUUUUUACUUUGAGGAAAUUAGAGUGUUCACGGCAGGCAUACGC